CUUGUUACCCAGCCAAUGUGCCUGGAAUCCAGAUCAACCUGGUUGAGUAGAAAAGAGGCAGGAACCUGAUUCAGCUGGAUCACUUUUAUCACUGUGCUGGACUUAGCAUUGAUACCAGCAAGCUCAAAUAACAAAGAAUUGCACAGAGUAAAGGUUAUGAGGUUAUUUCACACUGAUUUUCUUAUUUCAACCAGGUGAAGAUAAGUAAUAUUAUUUAUAGUAGCUAUUACACAGAUGAAGAAACUAAGGUUAAUACAGGUUAAGGGAUUUUCAGUAAAUGGUGGAAUUGAGAAUUAAAAUCCAGGCCUGACUACGAUAUGGCUUCCGAGCAAAAUUAUAUGAGUGAAAUAAUUACAAAUAAUUUAUAUGACUGUACUUUAUCUAUAUCAUCUGUAAGUGGAAACCUCACAAGAUCAGAAAAGGGUUCUUUUUUUGUGCAUCCUCACAUUAAAGUACCAUUUAAAGAUAAGGGACUUUAAAGUGCAGUUACUUAAUAUGUUUUACUUUUGAACAAAAAUUACAUAAUAUGUAACUUCACACUUGUGAUUCCUUAUUUCACUAAUUUUCAUUGAGAAUAUGACUUUUUUUUUCAAGGAUUAAAUGUUAAUAUACUGUGAAAUAGUUCUUGACACUAUUCCCUUCAUAAAAUAAAAACUGUUCUUAUGGCAUUUA
rnacentral:lncRNA from 10 species